rnacentral:rRNA from 1 species
GCUUAACUGUCCUUGUGCUAGGGAUACUGCUCUACUAGAGGGCGGGAGAGGUCUGAGGUACUACAGGGGUAGGGGUGAAAUCUUAUAAUCCUUGUAGGACCACCAGUGGCGAAAGCGUCAGACUGGAACGCGCCUGACGGUGAGGGACGAAAGCCAGGGGAGCGAACCGGAUUAGAUACCCGGGUAGUCCUGGCCGUAAACGAUGCGCACUAGGUGAUGGUGCGGCUAUGAGCCGCAUCAGUGUCGUAGGGAAACCGUUAAGUGUGCCGCCUGGGAAGUACGGUCGCAAGGCUUAAACGUAAAGGAAUUGGCGGGGGAGCACCACAAGGGGUGAAGCCUGCGGUUCAAUUGGACUCAACGCCGGGCAACUUACCAGGGGAGACAGCAGAAUGAGGGUCAGGUUGACGACCUUACCUGACAAGCUGAGAGGAGGUGCAUGGCCGUCGCCAGUUCGUGCUGUGAGGUAUCCUGUUAAGUCAGGCAACGAACGAGACCCGCACCUUUAUUUGCCAGCAAGAAGUCACGACUUCGUUGGGAACGAUAAAGGGACCGCCGUCGAUAAGACGGAGGAGGGAGCGGGCAAAGGCAGGUCAGUAUGCCCCGAAACCCCUGGGCCACACGCGGGCUGCAAUGGUGCGAACAAUGGGCUGUGACUCCGACAGGAGAAACCAAUCCCGAAAUCGCAUCUCAGUUGGGAUUGUCAACUGUAACCCGUUGACAUGAACGUGGAAUC